CCGCCAAUUUUACGCCCUACAGAAACCCACAUCAAGAUCGACCGGUAGUUGCAUCAUGCCCCCAAUCUAUGUCGAUCGAUGCAGACCAUGAAACAGGUAAAUUGUCGACGAUUUGCGAACUACAUGCUUCUAUAGUCAUGUUGUUAUUGACUAUGUAACAGAAGUGACUCGUCAACCAUCGAUGAGGAACUUCAGGAACUCCAAAAGCUGCAAGGGUUACUGAGGUGUAAGAUUUGCAAGGCCCGGCGUGUAGCCUUGACAUUCCUGCCCUGUGGCCACUGUGUCACCUGCGAGGAGUGCGGCCCCAAGGUCCUGAGCUGCCCGAUAUGUCCCAAGAAUGUUGCGCAAGUUCAACGAACAGUGAAAACAAUAUUUGCGCCAUAAAUGGUGGUUCAUUGUGUGUAUUUAUGUAAUUAUUGAAGACAAACAUUAUUAUGUAAUACUUGGUA